rnacentral:rRNA from 1 species
GAUGAACGCUGGCGGCGUGCCUAAUACAUGCAAGUCGAGCGAACAGAUGAGGAGCUUGCUCCUCUGACGUUAGCGGCGGACGGGUGAGUAACACGUGGAUAACCUACCUAUAAGACUGGGAUAACUUCGGGAAACCGGAGCUAAUACCGGAUAAUCUAUUGAACCGCAUGGUUCAAUAGUGAAAGACGGUUUUGCUGUCACUUAUAGAUGGAUCCGCGCCGCAUUAGCUAGUUGGUAAGGUAACGGCUUACCAAGGCAACGAUGCGUAGCCGACCUGAGAGGGUGGUCGGCCACACUGGAACUGAGACACGGUCCAAACUCCUACGGGAGGCAGCAGUAGGGAAUCUUCCGCAAUGGGCGAAAGCCUGACGGAGCAACGCCGCGUGAGUGAUGAAGGUCUUCGGAUCGUAAAACUCUGUUAUUAGGGAAGAACAAAUGUGUAAGUAAAUAUGCACGUCUUGACGGUACCUAAUCAGAAAGCCACGGCUAACUACGUG